rnacentral:rRNA from 1 species
UCGUCAGCUCGUGCCGUGAGGUGUUUGGUUAAAUCCAUUAACGGGCGCAACUCUUGUAUUAUUUUGGUAAUUAUUAAUUUCAUUUUUGUUAAUAGAAUUAAUAAUACAACUUCUAAUAUACUGCUAACUUCAAGUUAGAGGAAGGUGAGAAUUACGUCAAGUCCUUAUGGCCCUUAUGGACUGGGCUACACACGUGCUACAAUGAAUUUAACAAAGAGGUAUACAAUAAAGUCAAUUUGGAGUAAAACUCAAAAAGUUUUCGUGUUCAGAUUAUAAGCUGCAAUUCGCUUAUAUGAAGGUGGAAUCACAAGUAAUCGUAAAUCAGCAUGUUACGGUGAAAAUGUACCUAGAUUUUGCACACACCGCCCGUCACAUGCCGGAAGUGCGUUUUGUUUGAAAUUGAUUCUUUUAUUUCAUGUAACUGAAAUUAAUUCUAAAUGAUUUUUCAGUUUUACGGUUUUUUGAAGAAUUACUUAUUAUAGAGCAUAUGACUGGGAUGAAGUCGUAACAAGGUAGUCGUAC